rnacentral:rRNA from 1 species
UACGUAGGGUGCGAGCGUUAAUCGGAAUUACUGGGCGUAAAGCGUGCGCAGGCGGUUUUGUAAGUCAGAUGUGAAAUCCCCGGGCUUAACCUGGGAACUGCGUUUGAAACUACAAGGCUAGAGUGUGGCAGAGGGGGGUGGAAUUCCACGUGUAGCAGUGAAAUGCGUAGAGAUGUGGAGGAAUACCGAUGGCGAAGGCAGCCCCCUGGGAUGAUACUGACGCUCAUGCACGAAAGCGUGGGGAGCAAACAGG